rnacentral:lncRNA from 1 species
UGUAAAUAUUAGUGGACAGAAAAAAAAUAUGCUUUAGUUUUUGUAAUAAGGUUUUUGCACAAAUUUAUUCCCCCCCCCGUGUUUUUAAUGGCAUAUUUAAAAUAUAUAAGUUAUUUUAAGUUAAUGUAGAGUUCUACUCUGUUAAAGUCUUGAUGAAUUUUAAACAGUUUACGAACUUAAGUAGUUUCAAAUCUUAUUAUGCAAUCUGGUUUUCAAUAAAUUUACUAUCUUUUAUUUUUUAUAUCUUUCACUUACUGGACUUCGACCAAGCUUGGAGGGUUUUAGUCGAACAAAUCGACCCCACCAUUUAAUUUUUAAAGAAAAUGUUGCUACUUUAUCAGACUUUUAUGGUGAACUGUCAAGUUAGGGACUGUAAACAAAUCAAUAUCGAUUGUCAAGUGGUCGUGGGGGACGUUCACACAUAUUUAGUGUACAAAAAUGUCCUCCAAAUCCACACACUCAUAUGUUUGUAUUUGUGUGUAUAUAUACAUACAUACAUAUAUGUGUGUGUGUGUGUGUGUAUGUAUACACACACAUACAAACAUAUAUGAGUGUAUAUAUAUAUAUGUAUAAAGCUUUGUGUGUGGAUUUGGAGGACAUUUCUGUCCACUAAAUGCACACACAAGGCUUUGGGCUGCCUGGACUUAUUGUACAAGACGCUUGUCUUAGGUCCCACUACGUGGGACUAAGCCCCAAACCAUGUUCUUGGGAGGCAAAACACCGCCACAACUGCGCCUAUAUUUAUAUUUAUCAGUUUAUUAUAUUAUGUUUAUCUCUGUUUAAAUUAGGUCUACACCUGCAUUAUUUUUGUACUCUUUUUUUUUUAGGAUGACUCGUAGUUAGCCUUGCAUGUAAGUCUCGCCUCUUCACAUCCACUUAUAUAUAUCUAUCUAUUCAUUGUGAAAGGCUUACAGAUUUGAGCGGGAACGGAAUACCACAAGGCAUGUUGUUGCCUGAUCCUCACAUACUUCUGCCAAUCCUCCACCCUGGAUUGGUUCUUUUCUAUUCAAUCCCCAAAAAGGCAAAGUUGACCUUCGCGGGAUUUCAGCUUAGUCAGAACGAACACCAUGAGGUAUUUACGAUUCCUUUCUUGCCUGAAGAUCCUGUGCGAAACCCAGGGUAGCAAAAGACUGAUUCGACUAAAAUAAAAUAAAAGAUUGUGUGCGUGUGUAAAAGAUAAGUGAUUUUUAAGCAACUCUCAUAUUAAACCUCUGAAAAGCAGCUAGUGAUGCAUUCUUGCCUGGACUCAAGAAUAUUCAUAACUUUGUAGCCAGUGUUUGCAGCAGGAAUCCUUAAAGUGGGUGGUAGUAAAAAUUGGUUCAACAUUUUUGCUGGAAAUAUCAUGGCUUCAAUACUUUGACCCCUGCGCGCGCAUGUUGGUUCUGGCUGCUUGCUUAUUUUAAUACAAAUAGGCUCAGCGAAUGGUUUGUUAUGGAGCUGGUAUAAUUAUUUGCCCCCACUGAUAUAUAUAUAUAUGUAUGUAUGUAUAUAUGUAUGUAUGUAUGUAUGUAUGUAUAUAUAUAUAUAUAUAUAUAUAUGUAUGUAUGUAUGUAUGUACAUACACACAUAUAAGGGAAGAAGGUGUACGUUACGCCGCAAUAAUAUAUGUAUAAUAUAUAUAUAUAUAUAUAUAUAUAUAUAUAUAUAUAUAUAUAUAUAUAUCACCAUGAGUCAUAGAAUAAUUGUUUAUAUUAAGGAUUUGGUAUUUAUUUUAUCGGGCUGUCAGAUAAAUCCCUUCGUUUAUUCCCCCUCCCUACCUAGCACUCUGUCUUCGUAUGUCAGAAAAGUGGUAAAAAUUAUUCUAAUUUCAAAAGCGAUGAACAAAAGUUAGUUGAGGCAAGAAAUAGAACUACAAAAUGCCAUAAAAUACUACCGUAAAAAUAGUUUUCGUUUUAAUUCAAAUAACGUUAGAAGGAUUAAGAUAAAGAAGAAAGGGGGAACAAAUGCUUUUAUCUGACAAUUCAGUAUCAUAUAUUAAAAAAAUGUUGGACAAAAUCAAGAAUAGAAAGUUUAUUGUAUACGAAAGAGGAAAUACUUUACGAACCAAAAACAUAGUCUUUCACGUGUUUGUCGUAGCUUCAAUUUAUUUCUCCUGUGUUUAAUUAAUUUAGGACCGACAUUAAGUACAGAUGAAAGUGAAGCAAAUAUUUCAAUGUAGAAUGGCGGUGUGUGACACCCUGAAUUUUAGAGUAACAUACAGUGCUUUUGCAUUGGAAUACUCAAUCCAAAUCACACACAAAAAAAAAGUAGUUGGGUGCUGUAGAAUUUCGUGUGCAAUGUUGGCUUUCUCAUCUCCGAGUGUUGCUACAUUUUUCUUUUUGUUUUCAAUUACUCUGAAAUUAUAGCUUGUUCGUGUUUUGGUAAUAAGAUAGUAUAUAGUUUUUAUGGAGUUUUUCAAACAUUAAAAUUUGCAGAACUAGCGAGCCACCUCCAAAUAAAUGUCUAAUUAAUAUGUAACUCUAUACUAAUUUAUACGUAAGACAACCGAUGCUGGUGUGUUUACAUCCCCGUAACUUAGCGGUUCGGCUAAAGGGACCGAUAGAAUAAGUAAUAGGCUUACAAAGAAUAAGUCCCGGGGUCGAUUUGCUCGACUAAAGGCGGUGCUCCAGCAUGGCCGCAGUCAAAUGACUGAAACAAGUAAAAGAGUAGUCUCUCAUAAACCCUUGGUUCUCAUUCUUCUUAAUUUUGUGGCACACUUGAAGUCAGUCCAUCCGUCCGCCCUUCCAUCCAUCCAUCUUCGCUGCCCAUUAUUCCUGGGAGGAUAGUGGGAAUGGAGUUCACAGAUAACCCCUCCAUAGGGUUCUAUCGGAAGCAGCUUUCCAAAUGAGACUAUGGAUGUUAUCCAACCAUCACAUUUUUGGUUUACUCAAUCUCAUGCCGGUUAGCUUGGCUUGGAGACUCUGUAUCGCGAUCCGUUUCUGUGUCACUCUAAUCACAUAUUCAUAGCACCAGAGCUGUGACCUCUCAGUGCGAAGAAGAAGCUGCUCGACCUGGAGAGUCUCCUUGAUAUAUAAGUUAUGCACUCUGUCGAGUAACGUUUCCCGAAAGAUUUUUCGGUGGAAUCGAACUUCGACUGCUUGUAUUCGCGAUCGUAUUUUUUUACUCAAAACUCAUGACCAUCGGUUGAAAUUAGGUUCAAAAACAGAAUUGAAAAUGAGCGAGUUUGGCCUUUUCUUUUACUAGUCUCUAAGUAAACCCGCAGUUCAUUCUUUUUUUUACCUCAUUGCACACUAGCAAUCAAUUUUUUUAAAAUUGCUGUAAUAUUUCAUAUGAAAAUUUGAUGAAAAAGCAACCAUAAAUUAUUUUUUACGGUCAAGAUUUUAGAAAAAAUAUAGCAUACAAUUGUUUGCUUGGUUUUUAUUAAUUUUACUUGUGUAGAAUUAACUAAAUCCUGAAUAACACGUUUUUCAAGAUGCUAGUUUUUCUAAAAUUCCACUGCACAGAUAUUUCCUUGCAAUGCACCAUUCGUCAACCCAAUGAUCCAAACUAAGGACAGCCAAAUUGUCGGAUAAGAUCAAUGAUUUUUUUUGGUAUUUUCUGUGUUAAAGAGCUGUCGCAUAUACUUUUAUAAUUAUAUUAAUAAAUUAACUCUCGUGAAGGUGUGUGGGCUAAUUGUUAGGGUGUUGCUCGUAAGAUCGUGGUUUCCAUUCUGGCACCCGGCUUGUGUGGAGGCGCAAUGGCCCAGUAAUUAGGGCAGCGGACUCGCGGUCUUAGGAUCGCGGUUUCGAUUCCCAGACCGGGCGUUGUGAGUGUUUAUUAAGCGAAAACACCUAAAGUUCCACGAAGCUCCGGCAGGGUGGUGGUGGUGAACCCUGCUGUACUAUUUCACCACAACUUUCUCUUACUCUUUCUUUCUGUUUCUGUUGUACCUGUAUUUCAACGGGCCAGCCUUGUCAUAGUCUGUGUCACGCUGAAUCUCCCCCGAGAACUACGUUAAGGGUACACGUGUCUGUGGAGCGCUCAGGCACUUGAACGUUAAUUUCACGAGCAGGCUGUCCCGUUGAUCGGAUCAACUGGAACCCUCGUCGUCGUAACCGACGGAGUGCCAAACAACCAACCACCCGGCUUGUGUUGUGUUCUUGAGCAAAACACUUCAUCUCACUUUGCUCUGCGAUCACUUUGACACCUGACGUGUGUGGUACAACGUGCGCCUGAUCAGGCAAGUUGAUUUUAUGGAGCGCGUGAGCUAACUUGUAGCUGUAAGCACAUACAUUCAAUCACUAUAAAACAAAUUAUCUCUGCAGGGUAUUCAACAAAAAGUUGUGGGAUCCUCGUCUUCGUUUAUCCACCAAUAAAAUAUACCGAGGCGUUAAAAUAGAUUAAUUUCUGUUUGUUGAAGCUUUUUCUUUUAUUGCAGUUAAUACUUUAAAAUUCAAAUGGUAGGUUAUAUGUUUAAAAGUAGGUUUUUCUUUUUCUUUCUUUUUUUUUAAAUAGCAUUAAAGCUCAAAUAUCUACAUAUAUAAAACUUAAGUUCUGCAUGGCGCUCGUGAGCAGUAGUUUGGCCACCAGUUGAUCUAAAUCAACGGUUCUCGACCAUUUUUUUUUCUUUAAUCUAUGGAUCCUUUGAUUACUCUUUUAUUCUGGUGGACCCCAUGCCAUUUGAUGUUUAAAAACUAAUUUUAUAUAUACUUCUUUCCUAUUUUGUUCAUCACACAUUUUACUUGUGUAGACUGAACUACGUACGCAAACAUUUGAGAAAUAAACCUAGCUGUUUCUUGCAAUAAAUACAUUUUAAGCAAACAUUUUUUAUGGACCUUUAAUAUAGAACUGUGGAGGCACAUGGCCUAGUGGUUAGAGCAGCGGAUUCGCGGUCGAGGUAUCGCGGGUUCAAAUCUCAAACCGGACGAUGUGUGUUUAUGUGUUUAUGAAUGAAACACCUAAGCUCCACGCGGCUCCAGCAGAAGGUAAUGGCGAACUUCUGCUGAGUCUUUCAUCGCAACUUUCUCUCACUCUUUCCUCCUGCAUCUUGCAGCUCACCUGCGACGGACCGGCGUUCUGCC